rnacentral:rRNA from 1 species
AAUCAACGCUGGCGGCGUGCCUCAGACAUGCAAGUCGAACGCGAAAGUUCCCUUCGGGGGCGAGUAGAGUGGCGCACGGGUGAGUAACACGUAGGUAAUCUACCUUUGGGUGGGGAAGUAACAGCCGGAACGGCUGCUAAUACCGCAUAAUGCAGCGGCUCGACAUCGAGACAGUUGUUAAAGCGGGGGAGUCGCAAGACCUCGCGCCUAAAGAGGAGCCUGCGGCGGAUUAGCUUGUUGGUGAGGUAAUGGCU